UCAAACAUGAGCAGAGGUUUUGAAAGAGACUGAGCCAGGGCCUUCUUUCUCCCAGCUGGUACAAAUGACCACCUAUUUCAGCUUUCAGAAGAGUUUGAGCAUUACUUCUCAACCACCAGGGACCCCCAAACUGGGAAGGCAUGGAUCUUCAACCCAUGCCUGAAUAAGCCAGGUAAAUCGACUUUGUCCGUACUAGAAGAAGAUAACUGCUUGAGGCUGCAAAUGACAGUGGCUUUGAAAGGAUGUUUGAGACAGCUUCAAAUUUCCACAGGUUCUGGAUUAAAGUCAGGGAGGAAUAUCCUGAGACCGCCACAAAAGUACUGAAAACCCUACUUCCACUUCUGACAUCCUAUCUUUGUGAAGCAGAGUUUUCUGCAGUGACAGCAACAAAAAACGAGAUUCCAGAGUAGACUGGACAUAAGCAACACACUUCGGGUGUCACUGUCUCUCAUCGCGCCCAGAUGGGACCAUCUAGUCGCAGGAAAACAAGCUCAGCACCCCCACUAUUCCAAAUGAUGCAUUGUAAGUUAAGGAGGAAAAGUAACAAAGAGCUUGAAGACAUGCACAGCUCCCAGGCCCUGGGUGGAGGCUGGCAGCAGAGACUCUGAGGGGCAACCAGGAGGUGCCUGUGACUGCAGGACACAGAUGGUGAGAGCCAUUGAAUAUUUGCAUGUAGGAAAAUUACAUGGUCAUACCUGUGACUUGGAAUAGAGUGUAACGGAUCUUUGAAAAGAAGUUGGACGCAGGUCACCUGGUAGAGGCAAGGAUAUGAAUCAGAGAAAAGAACUGAAGUCUUGUCCCAGGAAGAAAGGGGAGGGCAGGCAGAGGAUUUUUCACUGACUUGUCUUUGGAAAAGAUUAGAAGAGCCUGUGAACUUGGCUUCCUCACUUCUGUUUCUCAGGUGAGUACCACUCCUAUUUCUAUUCUGCCAGUAUCAUUAAAGAACAUUUUCCCAGAUUUCUGUUGAAGAACUGCCUUUUUUUUUUUUUUUAAUCUUUGUGAUGCUGACACUCUUUUAGAAUUAACCAUGGAAAAACUUGAUGACACUUCCAUGUUUCUUGUAAAAUUCAUCUUUGGAGUAAUUUUACGGUGUGUGUUUUCCCCUUGGAUGUUUUAAAGAGCUGGAUUUCCUUCUCUUUGCAGAGCAUUCUAGCAGCUGUGUCUCAUUUGCUCUGCAAGGGCAUUUGAAGAAAUUGCUAUUUUAGAAGCUGCUUAACAUAUGGGAUAAUUGUUUUAAAGCACUUUACAGUUUGCAUAGUGCUUUCUCAUUAUUUUACCCAGCCAUUUCUCAUAGAAGCCCAGGACAUAUUAUUUACAUUUUUCAGAAAAAGAAAUAAAGCUACUGAAGACAUCACAUAACAGCAGCUUGGCAGGGCAAUUAAUCUUCUAAAUUAAUCAACAGAUUAAAAUCUCUUCCUUCAGAUCCUUUGAUACCUAUGACCAGAAACCCUCCUGCCUUUUGACCUGAACAGGUAGACAGCAAUACCAGCUGUGCACGGGAGUGUGUAGUCUAGCUAGUUUUAGGUCCACCCUAACAAAGAGCUGCCUCAGCGAUUAGAUACAAGGACACUGUUUGAAGAGAUUGGACACUAUUUGGCUAGUUUUAUUAAAAGUGGUGUAGUGGGUGGCUAAAAGCACUGGUUUUGGAGUCAGACUUGCUGUGUGUAAAUGUAAGCUCCAACUACAUCAGCUGCGAGACAUUCGUGAAUUAUUUAAUGUGUCAGACUCAUUUAUGCUAUCCAUGAAAUGGGAGCAAUAGUUUCUACUUCAUGAGAUUAUUGUUAUGAGGCUUAAUCAGACAAUCCAUAUAAAGUUCUAAACACCAUGCCAGCACUCAGUAAGUAAGGCCUUAGUAAAUGUUUGCUAUUGCCAUGCAGUGGUUCCAAAGGUGGUCACCUGGUCAGUUUUCCUGAGGUUCAUUUAAGUUGAUUUGUUUCAUGAAAUUAUACAUAUGGCCCAGUCCAGACUGGGGAUAGUUAGUAGCCUUAAGAGGUAAUUGGUGGUGUAGACAGAACUUAUACUGGUGUUUCCUCUGCUUUAGAGAACUGUCAUAAUUAUAACUUAUUCUAUUCUUUAAAACACAAAGCGGCAGUGUCAUUCCUCCUAAAUAAUGCGUAAUACAGACAAAGGACCCCAUUCAAUAUGCCCGUGGUAUUUCAGCUUGGCACUUUGGGAAUGGUAGUACACAAAAAGGCAGAAGAUGGUAUGGAUUUUCUUAAAGUUCAAGGUGAAAGUAAGGUACAGAAGGAAUAACAGGAAUCUAUUUAGUUGUGAGUGGGCUUUCAUUGGCACACAGAGGACUCAGUCCCAUAUCUGCGUGUUGCUUGCAGAGUAAACUCGGAAAAGCAUUUUGCUUCUCUGUACCUUUGUUUCUCCAGUUACAAAGAGGAAUUGUAAUACCUGUAGGAUGGCCAACUUGUCCCCUAUUUGCCUGGGCCAUUCCCAUGGCAAAUGCUGUAUGUCCCAGGAACCUUCACAGUCUUGGAGAAAACUGGGAUGAUUGGUCACCCUAAGUACCUGCCCCUCUCAUCUUACUGUAUUCACCCUCCAGGCAGUAGGUACAAAGGUGCUUUGACAUUUCAUGAACUGAAGAAUAUAAUCAACUCAAUUCUGAACACCUAAGGUCCAAAAAUAGUGCUUUGGGUUAUUGGAAGGAAAGCAGAGUGAUGUAGUGUUUAUAGGAUAUUAUGUCUUAAGUAAGAAUAUUGCAACUUAUUCUUGGUGCAUCAUUUUAUAAACUGCUUGGGAAUAUGUAAUAUGACUGGAAAAUCCUAUCCAAGGGUAUACUGUGUUAUAUAUCAUCCUUAUUAAGUGUUUACAUGUAUGUAAUUGAAAGUACACACAAGCAUAUUCAUAUAACAUUUAGGACAAGUACUUUAAGGUUAUCAUGAAGAUAAUUUGCAUUGAAAAGACCUCAUUUGGAUCAACUUUACUUCUUGAGAAGUUAUGUUUUGCACCCAACGCAUAUUUUGGAAGUGAUUACCAUUUAUAAUAAAUUAAUCAGUGAUUUGUCUUAGAAAACUUCAAAGGAAAACAUAAUAGUCUGGGGAAGAUGGCAUAACUGACCAUCUACUUGGUAUCAUAAAAAUAAGUACCCACCAAGGAAAAAUAGUACAUUACUGGGAAUUAACUUGAGGCAGCAUUUCAAUUAAUUAAUGCACACAGGAAUUAGAACAGUUUCAAAAAAAACGAUUCAUUUAGUUUGCUUUCACAUAAUGUAGAGAUUGUACUUGAGUGAAACUUCAAAAUGUACAAGCAAGCAUGCACUUGCUUGAAAAAUGAAGUUUUUUUUAUUGGCUUUUAUUUGUGUUCUACCUAGAAGCAUCUUAUCAGAAUCAAGCCAGUGCACACCCUAUAAAUGCCAAAGUGAGGCUUCUUGUAGACAUGCAUUGCAGAGAUAAAUAAUGUUAAUACAUAUGCAGUAUGUAUUUGUAAAAGCAUAAAAACAGGCAAAUUUGGUCAAACUCAGUUGCUUACUUAUGUUAAUAGAAGAAACGUUUAUUUAAAAAGUUAGACUCAUUUUUGCUCAUUUAUUGCAUGGCUGUGAAAAGGGAACAUGUAGACCUCUGUUAAGGGUUGGCAAGAGACUCGAAGACCCUGAACAUGUCACACAGUCUUUCUUCAUCUACCCCAGGGGACCUGCUGCAGCCCUGAGUCCAUGGUACUCAGGAAUAUCUUAUUAACGUAUAUUGAAUGUUCUUUGUAUUAAUGAUCAUUCAAAAUAACACAAUAAAACCAGAGUGAAAGGGCAUGGCCUACCAUUCCACAUUCAACUUUUCCCCAAGGAAUGAACUAUUUUACCUCUCAGACAGAAGCAAAGAACUCAUUCAGAAGCAGAGCAGAAGGCCGUUGGAGUUAUUGUUGUUUAUAUUCCCCUGGACAGAGGAAUAAUUAUGUCGGCUUCAAAGGCCUUUUCUUCCACCUUCCAUCUUGGCAUGCUCCUGCAGGAAGAAGCCUCCAUUCUAUUCCUACACUUUACAAAUGGAAACCCAGAAAAGGGAAUAUUUGUCCAAGGUCACAGAUGCAAACCUUCUCAGAUGUUUGCUAAUCCUAAUUUAAUUUUCCCACACUUCGCCAAAUGCAGCUGUAGGUAAUCUUUUUGGGUUUGGCCCUGUUUUAGUGUAGGAAAUACUCUCUUCCCUGGGCCCUCCCCACCAUCCACUGUGAUCAAGAGCCCAUCACUCCUUAGGCAGCAAUACUUUCUUCUCUUGCUUUCUAAUGGCAUUGUCUUUGCUGAGCCAGCACACCAGUACCUCCACUCCAAGGUCUCAAGAUAAGGGCAUCUUCUUGAUGACCCAAAGUGCUGUCUCAAUAUAAGGGCCAUUCCUGCAUUUCUCUUUAGACCUACUGUCUUUGAUACAGUGAUGCAUCACUCCAGGCUUGCCCUGAUUUCUCUCAGCCUUCAGUGAUAUGAGUCAGGUCUUUGCCUUAUGGUUAAUUUAGCUGGUGAUGAGGGCAAGCUGGAACUUGUGAGGAGAGACAUACACUGCAGCAAACUGAGGUCAGAGCUUGAACAGAACCCUCGAGAAGACAGAUUGCCUGUGGCAGCGAGAGCAUCAUUCCCCAGACAGUAGUGAUGCAGACAGAAGGUAGAAAAAUGACAGUCUCCUUGGAGGGGCAUAUGAGGGCACAAAGAUUUUUCAAAACUCAGCCCCACAGAGAGGAAAUCUGCUUGAUGUUUAUUCAGGCCCCUUCCUUUUAAAUCUUGAUUACCCUUGGCUCUGCUAGGCGCUGAAAUUUAUGCACCAGCGACAGGUGAUUCUUAUGUAAGAAUGGAAUCUUGGGUGUGAUAAAUUUGGUCUUGAGAAAUCUCUGCUUAGUUGCUGCAGAUGGCAGUGUCAUGAUGGCCAGAGUUAGACAGCGGUGACCUGCUGGGCUGUGGGCUGGGAAAUGGCUACUCAGCUCCGAGCUGUCUGGGUCAAUUCCUUGUGCCUCAAGGUCAUGACCAUGUGGGCACAGCCCAACUGUAGAGUUGACAUUCAUACUAGCAACAUCCUUUCCUACUCCAUUAGACAAUGUUACUAGCUCACCCCAAUGUCCCUCAGGAAACAAGUGGUACCCUGAGUUCUCUGCGUACAGCUUUAUAAUUUGGGGUCUCUAUCAUGACUAGUCCUGUUAAGGGUCAGUUCUAUGCUUGUAAAGAAUUGCUUAUACUGGAGAAUUUGCAUCACCUGGCUUGGUUUGGCCGUGGAGCCACCUCUAUGCACUCCAUCCCAGUCAGGUCCAUCUGUGAUCUAGGAUUCUUCUUCAGUGGCAACUUUCAGGUCACAUAUUCUUAGCCUUAUUGUUGAAAUUUCCAAAAAGUACACACACACACAAUUGUGAACAUAUAGGCCUUUCUCUAGGGAGAGGGUCUACAGCUUUCAUUAAAUUGUUGCAGAGGUUUGAGAUACAACAAAUAGUAAGAGUCACUAUGUAAAUGAAGAAAUAUUCUGAAGUAUCCCUUGUUUUUAUUUCCAACUAGUUUCCCACAUUGAAUUUCAGAUCGAACUUGAUCAGAAAUUAGCAAUAUAGGUUAAGAUUGGGAGUCAGCUAGACCCUUAAUCCUGGCUUAAACUCCUACUGUACAUUUUCUGACUGUGUGAGCUUAAACAUGUUGCUACUCUAUGUCUCACAUCCUUAUUUAGAAAAUUGAUAAAAUGGAAAAAAUACCAGCUGCUUCAUUAUGCUAUUGUGAGAAUUAAAUGAGGCUGUAUAUAAAUCUUGUGAUGUCCCUGGCAUUUGAGAAACAUGUAAUAAACAGGAGCUAGUAGUGGUAGGGGUCACAUGGAACUCAUGUUUCUGGAGCAUGUGGGCUGACACCCAAUGCCACGAAUCUUCUUCUUUUCUACGUUUUUGAAUAUUUUAUCCUGCCUUUGUUUACUGAGUCGUUAGCUGCCAUUCCAUACUCCUCAUAAGCAUCAACAUAUUUAACCACCGCUCUUAAGAGAUGCCACAUUCUUAUUCUUUAGCCCACUUCCUACAGGCAAAAGAAUGAAAAUAACUGGCAUUAGACUCCUGGCACUCCAUUUUACAAGUGUUACUCUCUUUUAAAAUGAAAACAUCCUGUUUCAAUAAUUUUUAGAAUUCAUCAAAAAUCAUAUGUAAUGUGUAGUUUACCUAGGGACACCAUUUUCUUACCUUACUUUAUUUGCACUAGCCCACUUCAAUUCCUAGCAUAGUAAAUACCUCCUAUAGUAGAUGUUUGCUGAACGAAUGAAAAAGAAACUCCUAACUUAAACUAAAAAGAAAGGAUGUGGCAAUGAGAGCAUUAGUUGUUUUGCUAGUGAUUCUCUUGUCCAUUCUUCUCUCUAAAGACCACUGCAAAUAUGACUUAUCUUGGAAACUAUAAAAAAGGCUAACUUUCGGUUAGGACAUUCAUCAGCCUGAUAUUAAUGUGAUUUUUUUCUCUUUGGGGUUUGAGGACAACAGUAUCAAUCUCAGUCUUUCUUUUUAGAAUCAAUAUUUCCAUAGCAAAUGUAACAUAAUCCUCAAUGGGAAAUUCCAUUUUUUUUAGGCAAGAGAUGACAGUUUGGUGAGAUUGGCCAGGCAUAUUUUGAAGAGAGAAUGCACUAAAAGUGAAAAUGUUAUGUUUAUGAAACUAUCAUGACAGUUAAAUGUGAUAUACUUGAAAAACAUGGCAGGCAAUUUCACUGUAUAUCCGUGAAGUCUAUAUAUCAGCAGUAUCAAUAAAUAGAGUUCAAGGGAAUAUAAAAUUCCUCCCAUGUAUGCAUUUCUGUUAGUCUACCUUAUUGCCAUACUCCACAGAGGUAGUCAAUAAAUAUUUAUUAGAUGGAUAAUUAUACUUAUUUUAUAAUAUAAAUAACAUAUUAUUUAUAUUGUGGUGGUAAGGAAAAUGCAGUAGUCCUCUGUGUAAUAUAUUUAUGAACAUAAUAUUUCUGAAGUUCAGUUAACUUAUAAACCAUUAAAAAAAAUGCCUUCCAUCUGUUUUCUAUGACAAAUAGAAACUUGAGAGAAUAUGCAUAAAAGGCUUUUGACUGAGCCUUGUAGAGUGUGUGUGAAUUGCCAUUUAGUUUGUUAGCAUUUGAGUUUUGCAAUUACGUCCAUUCAGAUAGAACAAUCCUUUAGGAGCCUCCAACAGUCUUGUGGCUAUGCACCCGUCCCUCUUUCUCCCAAUCUUGCCUUUCAUAAAAGGAAUAAACAAGCAAAAUCGGGAUGACAUUGGCCUGCCUGAUCAGGCCCGUGAGCCCAAGUGAGGGCAGCAGCAUGUGCUGCAAGAAGUCUCAAGAGCCUGUUGUCCCAGUGGGAGGACUCACCUGGGAAGUUAGGGAGGAGAGAUAGUGGGUGGUUAGGACAGAGCUGCCUACAGCUGCCUGCUUCUUCAUGAGGUGUCAUUGAACCUGGGCAUUGGAAUCCAGAAGAAAGUGGUCAUGUGAGAGAACCAGAGAAAUAGGGAGGUCACGAUAGCAAAAGGACAUGAAACAAAGAGGUUAUCCCCCAAAGGAACAGUGGCAAUAUUCUUUCCUUUAUUGCUUUUCAAAGCCUGUACUCACCUUUGGUUACUCAGUACUGUACUUCAGAUGUGUUACUGUAUCCCUGCAUAUGCUGCCCCUUGAUCCUCCUUGUUUUGCAAGGAGUAAUAUAUUCUAGUAGUUUAUCUCACUGCAGGAUGACUAUAGUUAACCAUAAUAUAUUAUAUAGUUUCAAAUAGCUAGAAAGAGAAUGUUGAACAUUCCUGACACAAAGAACUGAUAAAUGUUUGAGAUGAUAAAUACAUGAAAUUACCCUAAUCUGAUUGCUGUACAUUAUAUGUAUCAAAAAAAUC